GGACAAUCUGCAUACCAAUCGACUCAUCUGUGCACACAGGCUGAGAACAAUGCAGGGAGAGAUGCGGAAAGGCCUGUGCUGCGAUGACAAUGCUUCCAGUGUGCUGACCUCGUCAGCGAAGCAAACAAAAGUACAGUCUCUUUGGAGGAGACAUUAAUGAGUCAUUAAGAACGGGUACAGCUGCGUGGUGCAAGCACUUCGUUAAAAAUAUUCUUCUCAUUUUGUGUCUGUCCCGUAAUUAUAAUGGAAGUAUUGUGCAAGUCAGCCAGUCAGCGCAUGCAGAAAAAUAUUUAUGUUUUACAAUAUCUGCACGGUUUUUAAAGUGCAUUGUCAAGUGUGGCUGCUGUACCGCGUUUUGCCUGUUGUCGCCUCUUACUGACAGCCUCAGCUUUAAAACGCCCUGCACCCGCGUUAUGACAGUCACCGCUCUGUCUCCGUACGUGCCUGGUGCACAUCCCGGCCACCAGGGAAGGCGCACUGUGGAGCUCUGCCGUCUGCCCUGCUGAAUUUGGGGAAAACAAGGCUGUACGCUCCUCCAUCGCGAGGCCAUGGCUCCUGCUCCCUCCUCUCCUCAUGGUCAGGCCAGCCCGUGGGGCCCACGGCCACAGUGCCCACCCAGGCAGGAGACCCCAGAGCAGAGUAAGGAAACCCAAUGUGCCUUUGAGAGAACCGUUUAGAAACUGCCCUCAACUGUCUUUAAAGCUGGAGAAGUCCCUGAAGGUCACCCAAGGUGCUCACUGUGGGGACGAGGAGAGUGGAUCUGGGGAGGGGAGAGGCCGGCUCGGGGCUGCAUCAGGGGCCCCCAUUUAAUCCACGUGCAUGGAGCAGUUCCUGAGGAUGCUGGGGGCAGGACCACCAUCAACAGGAGCGAGCGGCUGGAGGGACGGGAGGCAGCAUUGGGGACCACACGUCCCCCAUCUGUUACAGACCCACGGGCGCUUCCAGCCCCCAAAGGACGCUGUCCUUGGUAAGUGUCUCAAAACUAAGUUUCCUUAAGAAAAGAAGUUGGGAAUGUGAGCUUCUUUCAUGACAUCGUCAGGCUCCAGGGACUGCCUGCCUUCUCACCCAGACGGAGGCAGGACUGCCCCCAGUUAGCUCUGGGCUGGUACGGGCAGGAUGGAACGCACCACCGGGCUGGGCCAGCAUCUUCGUGUCCUGCUCCCAGGAGACCCCACAUCUGUGGGUGACUCUUCAGGGCCUGCUGGUCCAACCGAGGCAGCUGGGGUGGCGCACCCUGUCAGGCCUCUUCCUUGAGCUUCCGUCCUCGGUGACCUCUGAGGAAGGUGGAAGGCGGAGGGGGAGCAGGUGGUCUGAGCAGGCAGCUUCCUGGCAGGAAGGGGGGCUGUGGAGGCCCCACCCCCUUUCUGGCACCUUCUGCCCACUCUGCCAGCGAGUCACAUCCCGGAAGGCCGUCCCUGGCCACUGUCUCAUCAUUCCUCAACGCGGACGUGGUCAGGACAAGGUGAUGGAGCCCAGGCAUUCGGACUCUGCUCGGGUGGGACUGGAGCCAGCGCCCGUGAAAGGACCCUCUGACACCGGGAAGGGUUCGGAUGCAGCCGGGCAUUAGCGGAUGGACAGGCUUCUGUUCACUUUGUUAGUGUUUCAACGACAUUGUAGGAUGUAAAAGGAAAACGCCCUUAUCUGUUAGCAAGAAAACGUUUACAGAAAUAGUGAGGCAUCUUGGACGGUGCUAGAAUGCUCGCAAGCACAGCAGAAGGGCGUUUGUGGAGAAAAACAAGACGGUGAAACGACCGGAAUUGAAACUGGGCGAUGGAGGGUGUACCCAAUUCCGCUGCUUUUGGGUCAGUUAGAAAUUCCCACAAUAAGACAUGAAGAAAAAAAUGUACACCACUCUCCCAUGGAGUCCUGGAUCUUGAAAAGGGCUUUAAAGAUAGAAGAACUUUUCAACUUAUCCCAUUUCCCACGGGGGAAACGCUCAAUUUGGGGAGGCCAGGAAGGCGCGGGCCAGGGGGAGCAGGAGGCAGGGCCGCCUGGCUCACCGGAGGCACAGGUGCUCUACCUGCCAUGACCCCGCGGUGACGUACCUGUCAACACUCUGAAGGGCUGGAGCUCAGCUUCCUGCCAGCAGUACAGCAGCAGGGCCAAGAGCGCCAGCAUUCCUCUACUUGCUGCCAUGCUCCCUCCCGCUGAAGGAGGGAGAGGAGGACCUCCUCCUGAAGGCCCCUCUGCUACCCGCCUCUGUCUCCAGGAUACUGUGGAAUGUCAGGGACCUGUGACCUCACGGCAGGAAGUGAGGGUCCUGCCCUCAGUGGGGAGAAUGGUGCCCAGGGUCUCUGACUGGGAAGGCUGGCUAGGGGGAUCCCCUCCACUUGCUCCCAUGGCCCGUUCACGUGCUUUCCUCGUCCUGCAGACCCUGAGGCCUGAAGGGGUAGGACGUUAAUCAGGACUCUGUGGAGUGGCAGAACCCAACAAAAUCUGCUCACAGGAAAAGAGAUGUAUUGGAAGGAGGCUGGAGAGCUCACUGUGUGACACGAUCUCUUUUCUGUUCUUCAUUUAGAUGAUGCCAGAGCCUUGAAACAAUCGCUGGCUCCACUGUUUCCUUUCACACUGAAAUUGCUCAUCCCCAGCAUGAAGUUUAUGCUUCAUUGUAAGUAACAGCUCAUGUUCCUUAUAAUAAACACUGUUGUAAUAAAUCACAGAAGAAAGUGCAGAAUAAAUAAAAGCCUACAUGUUUUGGAAGUAGAAGAAAAGGUGAAAGUGAAGUGGUCAUCUUUGACUUAUAAAUAUUCAGAACAGAACGGCAGCUCUGCUGUUUCUUGGGCUCCAGCUGCCCACUGUGGAAAUUCAGCC
ensembl:lncRNA